CAAGGCUUGACAUACACCGGAAACUGGCAGAGAUGUCAGCCCCCUUGUGGUCGGUGUACAGGUGGUGCAUGGUUGUCGUCAGCUCGUGUCGUGAGAUGUUGGGUUAAGUCCCGCAACGAGCGCAACCCUUGUUCUGUGUUGCCAGCAUGCCUUUCGGGGUGAUGGGGACUCACAGGAGACUGCCGGGGUCAACUCGGAGGAAGGUGGGGAUGACGUCAAAUCAUCAUGCCCCUUAUGUCUUGGGCUGCACACGUGCUACAAUGGUCGGUACAAAGGGCUGCGAUGCCGUGAGGCGGAGCGAAUCCCAAAAAGCCGGCCUCAGUUCGGAUUGGGGUCUGCAACUCGA
rnacentral:rRNA from 1 species